rnacentral:rRNA from 1 species
GCUCAGGACGAACGCUGGCGGCGUGCCUAAUACAUGCAAGUCGAGCGAACGGAUGGAGAGCUUGCUCUCCUGACGUUAGCGGCGGACGGGUGAGUAACACGUGGGCAACCUGCCUGUAAGACCGGGAUAACUUCGGGAAACCGGAGCUAAUACCGGAUAAUUCCUUUCCUCGCAUGAGGAAAGGUUGAAAGGCGGCUUCGGCUGUCACUUACAGAUGGGCCCGCGGCGCAUUAGCUAGUUGGUGAGGUAACGGCUCACCAAGGCGACGAUGCGUAGCCGACCUGAGAGGGUGAUCGGCCACACUGGGACUGAGACACGGCCCAGACUCCUACGGGAGGCAGCAGUAGGGAAUCUUCCGCAAUGGACGAAAGUCUGACGGAGCAACGCCGCGUGAGCGAUGAAGGUCUUCGGAUCGUAAAGCUCUGUUGUUAGGGAAGAACAAGUACCGUUCGAAUAGGGCGGUACCUUGACGGUACCUAACCAGAAAGCCACGGCUAACUACGUGCCAGCAGCCGCGGUAAUACGUAGGUGGCAAGCGUUGUCCGGAAUUAUUGGGCGUAAAGCGCGCGCAGGCGGUCUCUUAAGUCUGAUGUGAAAGCCCACGGCUCAACCGUGGAGGGUCAUUGGAAACUGGGAGACUUGAGUGCAGAAGAGGAGAGCGGAAUUCCAUGUGUAGCGGUGAAAUGCGUAGAGAUAUGGAGGAACACCAGUGGCGAAGGCGGCUCUCUGGUCUGUAACUGACGCUGAGGCGCGAAAGCGUGGGGAGCAAACAGGAUUAGAUACCCUGGUAGUCCACGCCGUAAACGAUGAGUGCUAAGUGUUAGAGGGUUUCCGCCCUUUAGUGCUGCAGCUAACGCAUUAAGCACUCCGCCUGGGGAGUACGGCCGCAAGGCUGAAACUCAAAGGAAUUGACGGGGGCCCGCACAAGCGGUGGAGCAUGUGGUUUAAUUCGAAGCAACGCGAAGAACCUUACCAGGUCUUGACAUCCUCUGCUACCUCUAGAGAUAGAGGGUUCCCCUUCGGGGGACGGAGUGACAGGUGGUGCAUGGUUGUCGUCAGCUCGUGUCGUGAGAUGUUGGGUUAAGUCCCGCAACGAGCGCAACCCUUGACCUUAGUUGCCAGCAUUCAGUUGGGCACUCUAAGGUGACUGCCGGUGACAAACCGGAGGAAGGUGGGGAUGACGUCAAAUCAUCAUGCCCCUUAUGACCUGGGCUACACACGUGCUACAAUGGGUGGUACAAAGGGCUGCGAUGCCGCGAGGCUGAGCCAAUCCCAAAAAACCACUCUCAGUUCGGAUUGCAGGCUGCAACUCGCCUGCAUGAAGCCGGAAUCGCUAGUAAUCGCGGAUCAGCAUGCCGCGGUGAAUACGUUCCCGGGCCUUGUACACACCGCCCGUCACACCACGAGAGUUUGCAACACCCGAAGUCGGUGGGGUAACCCUUACGGGAGCCAGCCGCCUAAGGUGGGGCAGAUGAUUGGGGUGAAGU